rnacentral:rRNA from 1 species
CACGUAGGGGGCGAGCGUUGUCCGGAUUUAUUGGGCGUAAAGAGCUCGUAGGUGGUUCGGUAAGUCGGGUGUUAAACCCCCAGGCUCAACCUGGGGACGCCACUCGAUACUGCUGUGACUAGAGUCCGGUAGGGGAGCGUGGAAUUCCUGGUGUAGCGGUGAAAUGCGCAGAUAUCAGGAGGAACACCAGCGGCGAAGGCGGCGCUCUGGGCCGGUACUGACGCUGAGGCGCGAAAGCCAGGGGAGCGAACGGG